CCCUUCCUAAUGGCCAAGCCACCCAUUUCCCUCAGCCUCCCUUCCCUCGGCGAUCCCUGUCCGAAGCCUCCGCCGCAGAAAGAAAGCAAGAAAGAAGACAGGUAGUCAGUCAGUCCGGCGGGCAGGCGGGCAGCCCAUUGACGGGCGGGACACAAAUCCCGGAGCGUGGCUGCGCGGGUGUCGCUCGCUCGGAGGGUGGCCGUGCGCCGGCAGCCCAUUGGCUGGGGGCGGCUUGACGUCACAUUUCGGAGUUCCUAUAAACUCCCCUAAACCUAACGGGCGCCGGGACAAGUUCUUCGGCGGGCGAGGGCUCUGCGAGCAGGAGGAAGGCGGAAGGACUGGAAGGCGGGGGCCACAUGCGGAGCCCGGCCUCCCUCCCCGCGGCCCGGGGACCCAGAGCUGCCCGAGGCUGAAGACGCUGGGGCUCCUGGAGGCGCCAUGGAAGCGGCCAGCUCCCCCGCCAGCCCGCUCCUGCCCUUCGCCCUGAGCCUGAACGACAGCCCCUCUGGUGGGCCCACUUCGGGCAACGCCACCGCCUCAGAGGAAUCCUGGGUGGUGGGCAUGGGCAUCCUCAUGUCCCUGAUCGUGCUGGCCAUCGUCUUUGGCAACGUGCUGGUGAUCACCGCCAUCGCCAAGUUCCAGCGGCUCCAGACGGUCACCAACUACUUCAUCACCUCCCUGGCCUGCGCCGACCUCCUGAUGGGCCUGGGCGUGAUCCCCUUUGGGGCCAGCCACAUCAUCCAGCGCACCUGGAAGUUUGGGAACAUCUGGUGCAAGCUGUGGACCUCCAUUGACGUGCUGUGUGUCACGGCCAGCAUCGAGACCCUCUGCGUCAUCGCCAUGGACCGCUACUUUGCCAUUACCUCCCCUUUCAAGUAUCAAAGCCACCUGACCAAGAAUAAAGCCCGGGUGAUCAUCUUGUUGGUUUGGGUCAUCUCCAUCUUGACUUCCUUCUUGCCCAUCCAGAUGGACUGGGACAAAGCUGACAUCCCCGAGGCUAAGAAGUGCUACAAGGAUGAGAACUGUUGCGAUUUCUUCAUCAACGGAGGGUAUGCCAUCAUUUCUUCCGUCAUCUCCUUCUACCUGCCGCUGGUGGUCAUGGUUUUUGUCUACGGGAGGGUCUUCCAGGUUGCCCGGAAGCAGCUCAAGAAGAUAGACAAGUGCGAGGGUCGGUUCCACCAGCAGAGCAACCAACAGGAACAAAAUGCAGGAAGAGCCGGUAACAGGAGAGUGUCCAAGUUUUGCUUGAAGGAACAUAAAGCUCUCAAAACCCUGGGCAUUAUCAUGGGCACUUUCACACUGUGUUGGCUCCCGUUCUUCAUUGUCCACUUUGUGCACGCCAUCAACGAAGAUGUGAUCCCCAAAUCCCUGUACGUGAUCUUGAACUGGCUGGGAUAUGUCAAUUCCGCCUUCAACCCCUUAAUUUACUGCCGGAGCCCAGACUUUAGGUAUGCUUUCCAGGAGAUCCUCUGCUUCCGGAGGUCUGCCCUGAAAAUGUACAUCAACGGAUAUUCCAAUAGCACUGGAAAAAAUGACUUUAUUGGGGAUCACAAUAGCUUUCAUGUGGGGCGAGAAAGGGCCUGCGAAUUGCUGUGUGAAGAAGACAGCCUUCCUACUGGGGAAGAGCAUUUACAUUGCAAAGGAAACAGCCAAUCUAUCGAAGGCCAAUUCUCCUUGAUCUUUAGCAAUUGAGAGAAUGGAUUUUCAUCAGGCAAGAUGUCAAGUACUUCUUUCUGCUCCAAGACAGAGAUUCCUGGGUAUCCUGGAAUGGUUGAAAGCUGAAUGGGCAAAGCUGUCCUCUUCAUCAUUUGCAACUGGCCAGAAGCUUGUGGGAAGUCGAGAUCAAGUUCAGCUAUAGUUCUGUCACAUUGGGGAAAUGAUAUGUCCCUUUGCGGAAGGAUUUUUUUUAAAGGCAGAAAGUAUGCUGAGACAGUGGACUGUGAUGCACAUGGAGAUCGGCAGUGAAUGAAUCACACCAGGGUCCCAACUUUGAGAGAUCAAAUUCAUCCUGUAAUUCUGCUGUUUGAGAUUGGAUUGGUGGAGUCUCUGCAGUGCAGGAAUGAAAGGUGUUCUUGGAGCUGAACAGUAUGAGUUCCCAACAGCAGGGGAAACAUUAACACAAUGUUUCUUACCCAUACUGUCUCCAGAAGAUAUAAGGAGCUGAAAAAGGUUUGGGAAUAAAAUUUUCCCAUAUGAGGGUUAGUCUACUAGUAGAAAGGACACCAAGCAUCAGGCUUCCUAGAGAAGCCUGCAGAUUAUUCAGCUUGGGACUGGAUCACAAUGGAAACCAUGCAAUGUAGAGGUAAAAUGAAACUUGGGAAGAAUGCACUGAGAAGCAGUAUUAAAACCAGUUGGAUUCACAAUACAUUGUCAAAAUCAUUUUUAAUUAUCUUUGGCCAACUCUUUUGAAACAAAGAUGUCUUCUCCUAGAAGUCAUGUGGCACCAUACAGACAAAAAGAAGUCACUGUCCUACAGUAGGAUUUUAAAAAAAUACUCAGUAUUUUCCUCUUAAAAACACAAUUCUUCAGUAUUUACUAGGUUAUUUUUCAGAUACAGUUUGUCCUGAGGUUGACCUUUGUACAAUUUCAUUUAAAAUGGCAAGAGGUCAGAAUCUGGAGGCAGCUUCUUGUUUUUUUCUCGUUCUCCUACUAACUACCCCUCUUUCAUAUCCAUUUCUUGAAGUAAGUUUACAUGCAGGAGCCUAAAGAUAUUAUGGUGUGACCAAACACUUUCUCUGGCUGAGAAACCUUGACUUGUUUACUCAACUCACAUCAGGUGCUGAAAAAUAUCGCAUAUUAUUUUGCUAGCAUAAAAUCUGGCAAUUCCAGAUCUUUUUUAAAAGGAAAAAGAGUCUAGGGAGAACAUCUGGGAGGAACAGACAAGUGCUAUGCGGGGCUUAUGGGAGGAAUUUGGAGUUGAAUAGCUCUGGUUAUGGGAGACUCUUUAGAGAUGUGGUUUUAUAGCAAACUUGCAUGCCUGGUCUUCUAAGAACUCUGAAGCAUUUAAAACACUGCUUUAUGUUGUACAUUUUUAAAGCCUAGAAGCUAACACUGAGCUUUAUGAUGCAGAAGAAAAGGCCCUUUGUUUUAAUGUCCUGUAAAACAUAAAAGAUGCCUUGAGCUUUCCCGUGAAUUAUGAAGAUACAAUUUCCCAUCACUUCUAUGUGAUGAAAUCCAACAUUGCCUAGAAUCAAAUGACUUUUCAGCCAUCAUCAUUUGUGGCUACAAUAAAGGAGAAUCGUGAGCUCUCAGCUGCAGGAAAACUCAUCAAUCAACAGAGAAACUGGUGUUCUUGUUGCUCAGGACAAGAAAUAAUUGUAUGGCUGCUUAUUGUCAUGGACUAUGCACAUGUAUAAACUUAUGUUCCUUGGACAUUUUUAAUUCCUGAAUCCCUGUAUGUUACAGUGGGUAUUGGCGAAAACAGAAGAAAGGAUCCAAACAUCUGCAAGGCAUUCUGAUGUGGAAUCAAGAGUUGCUCUAGAGUUGGAACUGUUAUUUAUGUAUUUAUUUAUGAUUUAUUGGUUGAGGAUGGUGACAACAAUCCUGAGGAUGUAAGAUGUGUUUGCAGAGUUUCUUCCUUGCUAAUGCAGAGGCAACAACAAAUCUCCCAGAGCCACUGAUUCCAUCAAAAUAAAAUUGAGACUUUAUUACAUUCUA